UCGUAGUCCAAUUUAAGCUAUUUUUUAGAAAUCAAAACAUAAUUUAACAAAGACAAAUCUUGAACGAUCUGGCGAGACCCUUCUUGUGCAAAUUUCCAGAAUCUCGAGCCACGUCGGAGCUUUUCACUUGGCAAGAGUUGUAGUUUGCCAGAGAUGCUAGCUGCUGGUUCAUUUGGAUACUGCUACUGUUUUGCUAGCCGGAGAAUACAAGAGCUGAGACGACGGGGAGAGAAAGAUCUAGUCCAUUGUUCUCCUUUGGCUGAGCUGCUGCUUUCCAGAGCUCGCCUGUGAUUGAUGGAGCAGCUGGGUGCCACUGUCGUUUACUGGAGAAACGAGAGGGAAGAGAGAGAG
rnacentral:misc_RNA from 1 species